rnacentral:rRNA from 1 species
UACGAAGGGGGCUAGCGUUGCUCGGAAUUAUUGGGCGUAAAGGGCGCGUAGGCGGUUUUGUUAGUCAGGCGUGAAAUUCCUGGGCUCAACCUGGGGACUGCGCUUGAUACGGCAGAGCUAGAGGAUGGAAGAGGCUCGCGGAAUUCCCAGUGUAGAGGUGAAAUUCGUAGAUAUUGGGAAGAACACCGGUGGCGAAGGCGGCGAGCUGGUCCAUUACUGACGCUGAGGCGCGAAAGCGUGGGGAGCAAACAGG